AAGUAUGAAGCAAAAUUUGCAAUUAGUUUCGACCUAAUCUUUUGAUAUAACUUAUCCUUACUUU
rnacentral:tRNA from 1 species